AGAGACAAUGGAAAGACCCAAAAACAGAUUCUGCAGUAAUGGAACAAAAAGCCAGACCUUGCCAUACCACCAUUUUCAUUAUCAACACCUGCAGUGACGGUCCCAGAUCCUAGACAAGAUGAUGCUGCCAAAAAACAAGGAGCUAGUGGUGGGAGCAGAGGAAAAGAUACAGAACUAAAAAGUGGAGACAGAGAUGGGGGAAGAAAGAAAAGAGCAGAAAAAGAAAAGCUGAUGCCAUUGCCCCUUCUCCAGACUUCAGCAGCUGUGAAAGUGAAUG